rnacentral:rRNA from 1 species
CGGACGGGUGAGUAAUGUCUGGGAAACUGCCUGAUGGAGGGGGAUAACUACUGGAAACGGUAGCUAAUACCGCAUAACGUCGCAAGACCAAAGAGGGGGACCUUCGGGCCUCUUGCCAUCGGAUGUGCCCAGAUGGGAUUAGCUAGUAGGCGGGGUAAUGGCUCACCUAGGCGACGAUCCCUAGCUGGUCUGAGAGGAUGACCAGCCACACUGGAACUGAGACACGGUCCAG